AGCUUUGUGCAGUGGCAUUGUUGUAGCCAAUGAGGUUUAUCCAGGGCACGAUUAUUGCUAAUUGAAAAAAAAGAGAGAACAAGAUGCCAUGCUAACACCAAUCAG
rnacentral:snRNA from 1 species